rnacentral:rRNA from 1 species
GCCUAAAGCGUCCGUAGCCGGCUCUGUAAGUUUUCGGUUAAAUCCAUAUGCUCAACAUAUGGGCCGCCGGAAAUACUACAAAGCUAGGGAGUGGGAGAGGUAGACGGUACUCCGUAGGAAGGGGUAAAAUCCUUUGAUCUAUGGAUGACCACCUGUGGCGAAGGCGGUCUACCAGAACACGUUCGACGGUGAGGGAUGAAAGCUGGGGGAGCAAACCGGAUUAGAUACCCGGGCAGUCCCAGCUGUAAACUAUGCAAACUCAGUGAUGCAUUGGCUUGUGGCCAGUGCAGUGCCGCAGAGAAGUCGUUAAGUUUGCCGCCUGGGAAGUACGUACGCAAGUAUGAAACUUAAAGGAAUUGGCGGGGGAGCACCACAAGGGGUGAAGCCUGCGGUUCAAUUGGAGUCAACGCCAGAAAUCUUACCCGGAGAGACAGCAGGAUGAAGGUCAAGCUGAAGACUUUACCAGACAAGCUGAGAAGUGGUGCAUGGCCGUCGCCAGCUCGUGCCGUGAGGUGUCCUGUUAAGUCAGGUAACGAGCGAGAUCCUUGCUUCUAGUUGCCACCAUUACUCUCAGGAGUAGUGGGGCGAAUUAGCGGGACUGCCGUAGUUAAUACGGAGGAAGGAGAGGGCCACGGCAGGUCAGUAUGCCCCGAA